rnacentral:rRNA from 1 species
AUUGAACGCUGGCGGCAGGCCUAACACAUGCAAGUCGAACGAGUGGCGGACGGGUGAGUAAUGUCUGGGAAACUGCCUGAUGGAGGGGGAUAACUACUGGAAACGGUAGCUAAUACCGCAUACCAUCAGAUGUUCCCAGAUGGGAUUAGCUUGUUUGUGGGGUAACGGCUCACCAAGGCGACGAUCCCUAGCUGGUCUGAGAGGAUGACAAGCCACACUGGAACUGAGACACGGUCCAGACUCCUACGGGAGGCAGCAGAGGAGAAUAGUGCACAAUGGGCGCAAGCCUGAUGCAGCCAUGCCGCGUGUAUGAAGAAGGCAUGCGGGUUGUAAAGUACUUUCAGCGGGGAGGCGUUACCCGAAGAAUAAGCACCGGCUAACUCCGUGCCAGCAGCCGCGGUAAUAC